GGAGAGAUGGCCGAGAGGCUGAAGGCGCUCCCCUGCUAAGGGAGUAUGGGUCUUAUAGCCCAUCGAGGGUUCGAACCCCUCUCUCUCCGCCA
rnacentral:tRNA from 1 species